rnacentral:rRNA from 1 species
AGUGAACGCUGGCGGUAGGCCUAACACAUGCAAGUCGAACGGCAGCACAGUAAGAGCUUGCUCUUACGGGUGGCGAGUGGCGGACGGGUGGGGAAUACAUCGGAAUCUACUUUUUCGUGGGGGAUAACGUAGGGAAACUUACGCUAAUACCGUAUACGACCUACGGGUGAAAGCAGGGGAUCUUCGGACCUUGCGCGAUUGAAUGAGCCGAUGUCGGAUUAGCUAGUUGGCGGGGUAAAGGCCCACCAAGGCGACGAUCCGUAGCUGGUCUGAGAGGAUGAUCAGCCACACUGGAACUGAGACACGGUCCAGACUCCUACGGGAGGCAGCAGUGGGGAAUAUUGGACAAUGGGCGCAAGCCUGAUCCAGCCAUACCGCGUGGGUGAAGAAGGCCUUCGGGUUGUAAAGCCCUUUUGUUGGGAAAGAAAAGCAGCAGGUUAAUACCCCGCUGUUCUGACGGUACCCAAAGAAUAAGCACCGGCUAACUUCGUG